rnacentral:lncRNA from 1 species
AUUAUUUCCAGAAUUUUAAGUCCCAUUCCGUGAUUAGCACUACUUGACACCACUGAUGACGUCGCGUCCCCCUCCCCUACCUAUACCGCUACCAACCGCCAUCCUAACCUAACAAGUUUGGUGUGUUUGUUUAUAUACAAAGCAACGGCAGGUGCAGUGUCCACGUGAAUGUAGUUAUAGGGAUUGUGCAGUGUUUGGAAAUUAAAAUGUGCGUUAUGAAAACCUUACAAUGGAUAUGUAUAUUGAUUGAAGAGGCUUCAUUCCAUCGGCAAGCAGUUACACUUCUGGAUCCCUUUCAGUAAUCAAGCAAGUAGUCUCUUUGGCUCUGCUUCAGGAAGUCAUCGAUCAAUCAAGUAUGUAGAUUCUGGAGCACUCCUUGCCUCGCACAAAGAAACAAGUCACUGUUCACUGUUCAUACUCCAGCUCCUCUCCCUCAUCGGUAAUCUACCUCCCCGAAACGAUGUCACAAAAUAGCACCCCUCAACCUCUCACCCCUUUUUUAAAGGAAACAAGUUCUCUUUAUCAAGACAUCCCAGCUGGGUGGCCUAGCUCACAACAGGAAGAUACUAUGGAUAGGAUGUUGAAAGAAAAUGGUCUUCCAAUGACCCCUGUUCUGCAAGAUGAUAGUUUUUCAUCUCCAAAAUCCCUUGAGGACGGUUCUUAUUUAAAUGAAGUUUUUGAGCGAAAAUCACCAUUGGGGUUGAGCAAUAAGCGUCAAUUUCGAAAACCAGCUCAAAGCAAAGGUAAUGCAAGAAGCUCCCGAACCAGUGCUGCAUUUCAAACAAUUGAAGGUAUUUCAGAUUCUGAUUUGAGUACUAACAGUACAGUGUCUAAUCCAAGGCCCAAAAGUUUUUAUGUUAAGACUAGAAGUAAAUCAGUUGCCAUCAAUGCAACUCUUGGGGAUGAAGGAAUGUCUGAGUUAGCUUCAGAUUCAAGUGUCAGUAGUGCCGCCUGUCCCAGUAAUGAAAUAGAAACUUUUGGGUCGCGCCAUUCAUCAAAGACACGAUCCAAAAGUUUCCAUCCAAAAACUGGAGGCAAGGCAUUCCCUAUCAAUGCAACAUUAGAUGAUGAAGAAUUGUCGGAUUCAAGUUUAACUCAGUCUAGUGCAGUCAAAACUAAAACACAGCCUAAAGCAUCCUUCCACCCAAAGAAAGAAACUAACACACGGCAGUAUGAGUGUUCAUUAGGAGAGGAAAGUAUGUCGGAUGUAACCAUAACUCCGUCAAGCACAGACAAAAUUAAAGCACAGCCCAAACCAUCCUUUCACCCAAUGAAAAAAACUAACACACAGCAGUACGAGUGUUCAUUAGGAGAGGAAAGUAUGUCAGAUGUAACCAUAACGCCAUCAAGCUCAGACAGAAGUAAAAAACGGCCUGUAUCAUCCUUUCACCCAAUGAAAAAAACUAACACACAGCAGUAUGAGUGCUCAUUGGGAGAAGAAGAUGUAUCAUUAGUUGAGAGAGAAACUGUGUUACCUGCUGUUUCACCCACUGCGGAAGAAAAGAGAGAAAAAAGGGUCUCUUUGCGGCGUAAUCUCAAGAGAAAAUCUACCUCCCCUGUUCAAGAGCCAUCUCUUGAAAAUUCUUUCUCUUCUUAUCCCUCUCAGAGCCUGCCUCAAAAGUCAGGUACACCAAAUAGUUCUAAAAAGAAGCGCACGGAAAAAAUGGAAAAGCAAAGUAGUGUGCAGCAAAACAUCAGUAAUGUGCAUGCAAGUGAAGCUUUAUCCCCAAAAAGUGUUGGCAAUAUUGAGACAAAUUCUAAAUCCUCUGCUCAUCCGAAGAGAAAAAGUAAUCCACAGCAGCAUAAUUGUUCAUUGGAAGAAGAGGGCAUGUCAGACGUAUCCUUCCCUCAGCUAAGCUUGGACUGUAGUACAAGACAUGUUGUUUCAUCCUUUCAUCCAAGAAGAAAACUAAAGCUUUGCAGGUUGAAUGCACCCUAG